rnacentral:rRNA from 1 species
ACGUACGCUGGCGGCGUGCUUAACCCAUGCAAGUCGCACGGAAAGGCCCUGCUUUUGUGGGGUGCUCGAGUGGCGAACGGGUGAGUAACACGUGAGUAACCUGCCCUUGACUUUGGGAUCACUUCAGGAAACUGGGGCUAAUACCGGAUAGGAGCUCCUGCUGCAUGGUGGGGGUUGGAAAGUUUCGGCGGUUGGGGAUGGACUCGCGGCUUAUCAGCUUGUUGGUGGGGUAGUGGCUUACCAAGGCUUUGACGGGUAGCCGGCCUGAGAGGGUGACCGGCCACAUUGGGACUGAGAUACGGCCCAGACUCCUACGGGAGGCAGCAGUGGGGAAUAUUGCACAAUGGGCGGAAGCCUGAUGCAGCAACGCCGCGUGCGGGAUGACGGCCUUCGGGUUGUAAACCGCUUUCGCCUGUGACGAAGCGUGAGUGACGGUAAUGGGUAAAGAAGCACCGGCUAACUACGUG